AAAGUGAAGUGGAUGAUGAAGCAGCGACUGUAAGAUACCAACGGAUAUUGGAAGAGUAAAUAAGGCAUCAAAUAGAGCGCUAUCAAGCUUCAAGAGAUUGGGCCUAGGAUGACUCUUCACCUCAUCAAAAUUGAGGAAGGAUUGUGUGCUGGUCCAGUCAUAUUCAGUGAAUUUGGAAGUGGUGUAUCAAACACGGACCAGAAAACCGAGGAGGAGCAACUUGAGGAAGAAGAUGACGGAGAAGAAGAAGGUGAUGAAGAAGAAGAAGAUGAUGAAGAAGAAGAGUAGCUUUGGUAAUAUAUCAUCAAUUUAUUUUAGUAAUUUGUGCUGCUUUCAUUUUAUUUUAAACUCAAUACUGCAACGAUUCUCUUUAAGUCAUGCCAUUUUGAACGGCAAUUUUCGUUUUAUGUACUCUAUAAUUUUGGAGUUGAUAUAUUUAGCACAAAUGUCUAUAUUUGCUCGUCUUCUUCAAGUAUGUUUCUUUUUUCUU